rnacentral:rRNA from 1 species
UACGUAGGGGGCAAGCGUUAUCCGGAUUUACUGGGCGUAAAGCGCGUGUAGGCGGUUGCGCAAGUUGGUUGUGAAAUCUCCCGGCUCAACCGGGAAACUGCAGCCAAAACUGCGCGGCUAGAGUGGCAGAGAGGAAAGUGGAAUUCCCGGUGUAGUAGUGAAAUGCGUAGAUAUCAGGAGGAACACCGGUGGCGAAGGCGGCAUCCUGGACCGACACUGACGCUGAGGAGCGAAAGCCAGGGGAGCAAACGGG